CCUACGGGAGGCAGCAGUGAGGAAUAUUGGUCAAUGGACGAGAGUCUGAACCAGCCAAGUAGCGUGAAGGAUGACUGCCCUAUGGGUUGUAAACUUCUUUUAUAUGGGAAUAAAAUGUUCCACGUGUGGGAUUUUGUAUGUACCAUAUGAAUAAGGAUUGGCUAACUCCGUGCCAGCCGCCGCGGGAAUACGGAGGAUCCGAGCGUUAUCCGGGAUUAUUGGGUUUAAAGGGAGCGUAGGUGGAUUGUUAAGUCAGUUGUGAAAGUUUGCGGCUCAACCGUAAAAUUGCAGGUGAAACUGGCAGUCUUGAGUACAGUAGAGGUGGGGGGAAUUCGUGGUGUAGCGGUGAAAUGCUUAGAAAUCACGAAGAAAUACGAUUGGGAAGGGAGCUCACUGGACUGCAAAUGACACUGAGGGUCGAAAGUGUGGGGAUCAAACAGGAUUAGAUACCCGAGUAGUC
rnacentral:rRNA from 1 species